UACAGAGGUCCCGAGCGUUGUUCGGAUUCAUUGGGCGUAAAGGGUGCGUAGGCGGCGGGGCAAGUCUGAUGUGAAAUCCCGGGGCUCAACCCCGGAACUGCAUUGGAUACUGCCUUGCUAGAGUACUGGAGAGGGAACUGGAAUUUACGGUGUAGCAGUGAAAUGCGUAGAGAUCGUAAGGAAGGCCAGUGGCGAAGGCGGGACUCUGGGCCGAUACUGACGCUGAGGAGCGAAAGCGUGGGGAGCAAACAGG
rnacentral:rRNA from 1 species